AUUGAACGCUGGCGGCAGGCCUAACACAUGCAAGUCGAGCGGAUGAGUGGAGCUUGCUCCAUGAUUCAGCGGCGGACGGGUGAGUAAUGCCUAGGAAUCUGCCUGGUAGUGGGGGACAACGUUUCGAAAGGAACGCUAAUACCGCAUACGUCCUACGGGAGAAAGUGGGGGAUCUUCGGACCUCACGCUAUCAGAUGAGCCUAGGUCGGAUUAGCUAGUUGGUGGGGUAAUGGCUCACCAAGGCGACGAUCCGUAACUGGUCUGAGAGGAUGAUCAGUCACACUGGAACUGAGACACGGUCCAGACUCCUACGGGAGGCAGCAGUGGGGAAUAUUGGACAAUGGGCGAAAGCCUGAUCCAGCCAUGCCGCGUGUGUGAAGAAGGUCUUCGGAUUGUAAAGCACUUUAAGUUGGGAGGAAGGGCAGUAAAUUAAUACUUUGCUGUUUUGACGUUACCGACAGAAUAAGCACCGGCUAACUCUGUGCCAGCCGCCGCAGUAAGAC
rnacentral:rRNA from 1 species